ensembl:snRNA U6 U6 spliceosomal RNA
GUGCUUCCUUCAGCAGCAAGUGUGCCAGAAUUGGAAUGAUUCAGAGAUCAGCAUGGCCCCUGUACAUGGACAUAAAAUGAUAGAGGAGUCCAUAUUUUUU